CGCAAUCCAAAAAGAGCAAGCUCAUUGUUGAGGAUUCAUCUCCUGAACAAACUCAAUCCUAUCAUGGAUCUGAAAUUGGAACUGAAGAAUUAGAAGAAUUCUUAAGGGAAUCUAAGAAGAAGAAAAAUAAUGAAAAAUCUGCUGCAUAGGGGGAGAAGGGAGCUGACCUACGAUCAACAGAAGGUCACUAUGACUCAU